CAGCAGCCGCGGGAAUACGAAGGGUGCAAGCGUUACUCGGAAUUACUGGGCGUAAAGCGUGCGUAGGUGAUGGUUUAAGUCCGUUGUGAAAGCCCUGGGCUCAACCUGGGAAUUGCAGUGGAUACUGGAUCACUAGAGUGUGGUAGAGGAUAGUGGAAUUUCCGGUGUAGCAGUGAAAUGCGUAGAGAUCGGAAGGAACAUCUGUGGCGAAGGCGACUAUCUGGGCCAACACUGACACUGAGGCACGAAAGCGUGGGGAGCAAACAGGAUUAGAUACCCCCGUAGUCCCUGUCUCUUAUAC
rnacentral:rRNA from 1 species